ACACAGGUCUGAAUUUUUGGCAGGCCCACCUCCCCACCCCCGAAUCUCUCAUAGUGCCCCAUGCCAGAGUAAACUGUGGCCUUGAACUGUUUCCUGGCAUCUGCGUGUAGGCUCCGGGCACUGAAGCAGGUUGCAUAGUG